GGUAUUGUUUACCCCAUUUUUGUGGCCCCGGAAACCCAAAAAUAUUUGCAGGACUCUUACACCUGCCGUAAACAAAUU
rnacentral:sRNA from 1 species